rnacentral:rRNA from 1 species
GACGAACGCUGGCGGCGUGCCUAAUACAUGCAAGUCGAGCGGACCAAAGGGAGCUUGCUCCUGGAGGUUAGCGGCGAACGGGUGAGUAACACGUGGGCAACCUGCCUGUAAGACUGGGAUAACAUCGAGAAAUCGGUGCUAAUACCGGAUAAUAAAAAGAACUGCAUGGUUCUUUUUUGAAAGAUGGUUUCGGCUAUCACUUACAGAUGGGCCCGCGGCGCAUUAGCUAGUUGGUGAGGUAACGGCUCACCAAGGCGACGAUGCGUAGCCGACCUGAGAGGGUGAUCGGCCACACUGGGACUGAGACACGGCCCAGACUCCUACGGGAGGCAGCAGUAGGGAAUCUUCCGCAAUGGACGAAAGUCUGACGGAGCAACGCCGCGUGAGUGAUGAAGGUUUUCGGAUCGUAAAACUCUGUUGUUAGGGAAGAACAAGUGCCGUUCGAAAGGGCGGCACCUUGACGGUACCUAACGAGAAAGCCACGGCUAACUACGUGCCAGCAGCCGCGGUAAA